rnacentral:snRNA from 1 species
UUGCUUGCUUCAGCAGCACAUGUACUAAAAUUGAAAUGAUACACAGAAGAUUAGCAUGGCUCCUGCACAAGAAUGACAUGCAAAUUUGUGAAGAGUUCCAUUAAAAA